UCCCUAUGGGGUGCAGCAGGCGCGAAAACUUUACAAUGCGGGAAACCGUGAUAAGGGAACUCUGAGUGCCCGUUAAAUCGGGCUGUCCAUCAGUUUAAAAAACUGGUGAAGAAAGGGCCGGGCAAGACCGGUGCCAGCCGCCGCGGUAAUACCGGCGGCUCGAGUGGUGGCCACUAUUACUGGGCUUAAAGCGUUCGUAGCUGGUUUGUUAAGUCUCUGGGGAAAUCUUCCGGCUUAACCGGAAGGCGUCUCAGGGAUACUGGCAGACUAGGGACCGGAAGAGGUGAGGGGUACUCCAGGGGUAGGAGUGAAAUCCUGUAAUCCUUGGGGGACCACCUGUGGCGAAGGCGCCUCACCAGGACGGCUCCGACAGUGAGGGACGAAAGCUGGGGGAGCAAACCGGAUUAGAUACCCGGGUAGUCCCAGCCGUAAACGAUGUGCGUUAGGUGUAUCGGUGACCACGAGUCACCGAGGUGCCGAAGAGAAAUCGUGAAACGUACCGCCUGGGAAGUACGGUCGCAAGGCUGAAACUUAAAGGAAUUGGCGGGGGAGCACCACAACAGGUGGAGCCUGCGGUUUAAUCGGACUCAACGCCGGAAAACUCACCAGAUAAGACAGCUGAAUGAUAGUCGGGCUGAAGACUCUACUUGACUAGCUGAGAGGUAGUGCAUGGCCA
rnacentral:rRNA from 1 species